rnacentral:rRNA from 1 species
GUGCUAUACAUGCAGUCGAGCGGACAGAUGGGAGCUUGCUCCCUGAUGUUAGCGGCGGACGGGUGAGUAACACGUGGGUAACCUGCCUGUAAGACUGGGAUAACUCCGGGAAACCGGGGCUAAUACCGGAUGCUUGUUUGAACCGCAUGGUUCAAACAUAAAAGGUGGCUUCGGCUACCACUUACAGAUGGACCCGCGGCGCAUUAGCUAGUUGGUGAGGUAAUGGCUCACCAAGGCGACGAUGCGUAGCCGACCUGAGAGGGUGAUCGGCCACACUGGGACUGAGACACGGCCCAGACUCCUACGGGAGGCAGCAGUAGGGAAUCUUCCGCAAUGGACGAAAGUCUGACGGAGCAACGCCGCGUGAGUGAUGAAGGUUUUCGGAUCGUAAAGCUCUGUUGUUAGGGAAGAACAAGUACCGUUCGAAUAGGGCGGUACCUUGACGGUACCUAACCAGAAAGCCACGGCUAACUACGUGCCAGCAGCCGCGGUAAUACGUAGGUGGCAAGCGUUGUCCGGAAUUAUUGGGCGUAAAGGGCUCGCAGGCGGUUUCUUAAGUCUGAUGUGAAAGCCCCCGGCUCAACCGGGGAGGGUCAUUGGAAACUGGGGAACUUGAGUGCAGAAGAGGAGAGUGGAAUUCCACGUGUAGCGGUGAAAUGCGUAGAGAUGUGGAGGAACACCAGUGGCGAAGGCGACUCUC